AGCGAACGCUGGCGGCAGGCCUAACACAUGCAAGUCGAACGAAGUCUUCGGACUUAGUGGCGGACGGGUGAGUAACACGUGGGAACGUACCUUUUGGUUCGGAACAACUCAGGGAAACUUGAACUAAUACCGGAUGAGCCCUUAGGGGGAAAGAUUUAUCGCCGAAAGAGCGGCCCGCGUUAGAUUAGCUAGUUGGUGAGGUAAAGGCCCACCAAGGCUACGAUCUAUAGCUAGUCUGAGAGGAGGAUCAGCCACACUGGGACUGAGACACGGCCCAGACUCCUACGGGAGGCAGCAGUGGGGAAUCUUGCGAAGUGGGGGAAAGCCUGAAGCAGCCAUGCCGCGUGAAUGAUGAAGGUCUUAGGAUUGUAAAAUUCUUUUCCCAGGGACGAUGAUGACGGUAGCUGGAGAAAAAGCCCCGGCUAACUUCGUGCCAGCCGCCGCAGUAAUAC
rnacentral:rRNA from 1 species